CAUCAUGGCAGUGGAAACUGAAAGGCUUGAGUAUGGUAGGGGCAGAGGGAAUUCCCGGUGUAGCGGUGAAAUGCGUAGAUAUCGGGAAGAACACCAGUGGCGAAGGCGCUCUGCUGGGCCAUUACUGACGCUCAUGGACGAAAGCCAGGGGAGCGAAAGGGAUUAGAUACCCCUGUAGUCCUGGCCGUAAACGAUGAACACUAGGUGUCGGGGGAAUCGACCCCUUCGGUGUCGUAGCUAACGCGUUAAGUGUUCCGCCUGGGGAGUACGCACGCAAGUGUGAAACUCAAAGGAAUUGACGGGGGCCCGCACAAGCGGUGGAGUAUGUGGUUUAAUUCGAUGCAACGCGAAGAACCUUACCAGGGUUUGACAUCCUGCGAACCUCUUAGAAAUUUGAGGGUGCCUUCGGGAAUGCAGUGACAGGUGGUGCAUGGCUGUCGUCAGCUCGUGUCGUGAGAUGUUGGGUUAAGUCCCGCAACGAGCGCAACCCACGUUUUUAGUUGCCAGCAUUUAGUUGGGCACUCUAGAAAGACCGCCGGUGAUAAACCGGAGGAAGGUGUGGAUGACGUCAAGUCAUCAUGCCCCUUACACCCUGGGCUACACACGUACUACAAUGCUACGGACAAAGGGCAGCAAACUCGCGAGAGCUAGCAAAUCCCAUAAACCGUGGCUCAGUUCAGAUCGUAGGCUGCAACUCGCCUACGUGAAGUAGGAAUCGCUAGUAAUCGCAGGUCAGCAUACUGCGGUGAAUACGUUCCCGGGCCUUGUACACACCGCCCGUCACACCAUGGAAGUUGGCCAUGCCCGAAGUCGUUACUCCAACCCUUGUGGAGGAGGACGCCGAAGGUGGGGCUAAUGACUGGGGUGAAGUCGUAACAAGGUAACCGUA
rnacentral:rRNA from 1 species